rnacentral:rRNA from 1 species
ACGGAAGGCAGCAGUAGGGAAUCUUCGGCAAUGGGGGGAACCCUGACCGAGCAACGCCGCGUGAGUGAAGAAGGUUUUCGGAUCGUAAAGCUCUGUUGUCAGAGACGAACGUAUGUGAGAGUGGAAAGUUCACAUAGUGACGGUAACUGACCAGAAAGGGACGGCUAACUACGUGCCAGCAGCCGCGGUAAUACGUAGGUCCCGAGCGUUGUCCGGAUUUAUUGGGCGUAAAGCGAGCGCAGGCGGUUGUAUAAGUCAGAAGUAAAAGGCAGUGGCUCAACCAUUGUGUGCUUUUGAAACUGUAUGACUUGAGUGCAGAAGGGGAGAGUGGAAUUCCAUGUGUAGCGGUGAAAUGCGUAGAUAUAUGGAGGAACACCGGUGGCGAAAGCGGCUCUCUGGUCUGUGACUGACGCUGAGGCUCGAAAGCGUGGGUAGCGAACAGGAUUAGAUACCCUGGUA